GGCUCAGGCUGGCGCGCACGCGUUUCGCGUCGCGCGUCAACUGGUCCAUCCUCGCAGCGAUGCCGUAACCAUUCAGUUGGUGCGGCGGAACUGCGUCCUUUACUGUGAAAAAAUUAGAGUGUUUAAAGCAGGCCUCGCGCUUGAAUACAUUAGCAUGGAAUAAUAAGAUAGGACUUUGGUGCUAUUUUGUUGGUUGCGUAUCGAAGUA
rnacentral:rRNA from 1 species